GACAGAGGGUGCAAACGUUGUUCGGAAUUAUUGGGCGUAAAGAGCUCGUAGGCGGUUUGUCGCGUCUGCUGUGAAAACUCGGGGCUUAACCCUGGGCCUGCAGUGGGUACGGGCAGACUAGAGUGCGGUAGGGGAGACUGGAAUUCCUGGUGUAGCGGUGGAAUGCGCAGAUAUCAGGAGGAACACCAAUGGCGAAGGCAGAUCUCUGGGCCGUAACUGACGCUGAGGAGCGAAAGCAUGGGGAGCGAACAGG
rnacentral:rRNA from 1 species